rnacentral:lncRNA from 1 species
AUCAAUAUGCCUAUUUGUCCCUGACGCAUAUUAACUAAAUAUUUAUAUCAAAGUAAGGAAUGCUUUUAUUUUUAAAUAAGCACUUUAUUUACGUCUAAGAGAGCUUAUUAAAUCAUUAUUAUCUGGAUGUGCUUUUACCUAAUUCUAUUAAAAUAUUGAAAUUCUAAUUCUUUAAAUGAAAGCUCUUGUUGCCCUGGAAACACUGAAUUAUUAAUUUUUUAAAAGACACGAUUUGGCUCGCUGCUUCUCUGUAAGUUUAUAGAGCCACGUUGGCUGCCAGUUAUCUUUAAUGUAUUACUUUAAUUGAAUUUGUUUUCCAAAGAUAGAUAUUGGCGUGAUCAGUUGACGUUCUGCCUCCCAACCCGAGACCCAUCCAGCCUUCGACGUCAGCACGUUUUUUUUUUCUUUGUCACCGAAGGAAAAACGAUCGCUGCCGAGCUCACCUGUCUGACACAACACGUAGAGAUCUUUUUCAAGACAGUACCUGAAAAUACCUUGUGCACACAGUAUUCACGAUGGGAGAGGAAUGUUAAGCAUGUCUGGGAAGAAUUACGGAAUGCUAUGAAAUUUUAAGUUUAGCGGGGAAUAUGCUGCGAUUACGAGUGUCUAACGUGUGCUUUUCUCCGCCACUUGUCAGUCUUACUGGACUGUCCCUACACAAAUGUGAAAGCAAAUCAAAUCGGCAAACGAGGGUAAUUUAUAUGCGCGCAAAUAAACACGAGUUUGUUGUGUGUUCAUCUGCGAUCAAAUAUAUAAUAAUAGUAAUGGUAAUGAUAACGUGAAAUUGUUGUUGUUCUUGCUGUUUCACUACAAUAACAGCGAUAACGAUUCUUAUCUAUGUAUUAUUUACAGUACAUCCGCAGAACAUGUGAAAAAAAAACGAAAAAAACGAUGACUAUGGCUCGCCUCUGCCACAGUGCGCGCACAGAUGUGCAACCUACAGCGGAGCGCAGGCACACGCCUGGGGAACUUCUCUCCGUUGACAUCACAGAAAUCCAGUAUGAUUGCCAGAACCGACCCGGAAGAGCUCUGGCCUCUCAUCUGAUGUACAGUAAGAGGGCCGAGUGCGUUGGUUGGUCCGCGCGCGUCUCCGUGGGCUGGCGGAGGAGAACGAGUGCAGCGCUCCGGUUUUCCCCCCUCGCCGCUCGCGCUCUAAAUGCCAUCAGCGCUUCAAUCUGUAAGUCAUUCUCAUCCUCACAUCUCUGGGAGAUCAGAAAAAGACAAAGCACGCAAAACUCUGCUGCCGUCGUCAGCUCCACAGGUCAGUAG